AUUGAACGCUGGCGGCAGGCCUAACACAUGCAAGUCGUACGAGUGGCGGACGGGUGAGUAAUGUCUGGGAAACUGCCUGCUGGAGGGGGAUAACUACUGGAAAAGGUAGCUAAUACCGCAUACCAUCGGAUGUGCCCAGAUGGGAUUAGCUAGUAGGUGGGGUAAAGGCUCACCUAGGCUACGAUCCCUAGCUGGUAUGAGAGGAUGACCAGCCACACUGGAAUGUAGCCACGGUCCAGACUCCUACGUGAGGCAGCAGUGGGGAAUAUUGCACGAUGGGCGUAAGUCUGAUGCUGCCAGGCCGAGUGUAGGAAGAAGGCCUUCGGGUUGUAAAGUACUUUCAUCGGGGAGGCGUUACCCGCAGAAGAAUCACCGGCUAACUCCGUGCCAGCAGCCGCGGUAAUUC
rnacentral:rRNA from 1 species